rnacentral:rRNA from 1 species
UACAGAGGUCUCAAGCGUUGUUCGGAUUCAUUGGGCGUAAAGGGUGCGUAGGUGGUCGGGUAAGUCUCAUGUGAAAUCCCGCAGCUUAACUGCGGAACGGCAUGGGAUACUAUUCGGCUCGAGGAUUGGAGGGGGGACUGGAAUUCCCGGUGUAGCAGUGAAAUGCGUAGAUAUCGGGAGGAACACCAGUGGCGAAGGCGAGUCCCUGGACAAUUCCUGACGCUGAGGCACGAAAGCCAGGGGAGCAAACAGG